AACGAACGCUGGCGGCAUGCCUAACACAUGCAAGUCGAACGAGACCUUCGGGUCUAGUGGCGCACGGGUGCGUAACGCGUGGGAACCUGCCCUUAGGUUCGGAAUAACUCCCCGAAAGGGGUGCUAAUACCGGAUAAUGUCUUCGGACCAAAGAUUUAUCGCCUUUGGAUGGGCCCGCGUUGGAUUAGCUAGUUGGUAGGGUAAAAGCCUACCAAGGCGACGAUCCAUAGCUGGUCUGAGAGGAUGAUCAGCCACACUGGGACUGAGACACGGCCCAGACUCCUACGGGAGGCAGCAGUGGGGAAUAUUGGACAAUGGGCGAAAGCCUGAUCCAGCAAUGCCGCGUGAGUGAUGAAGGCCUUAGGGUUGUAAAGCUCCUUUACCCGGGAUGAUAAGGACAGUACCGGGAGAAUAAGCUCCGGCUAACUCCGU
rnacentral:rRNA from 1 species